rnacentral:tRNA from 1 species
GCGAGGGUAGCUCAGUCGGCAGAGCACACGGCUGAUAACCGUGAGGUCCCGAGUUCGAAUCUCGGCUCUCGCACCAUGC